AGUGAACGCUGGCGGUAGGCCUAACACAUGCAAGUCGAACGGCAGCACAGUAAGAGCUUGCUCUUACUGGUGGCGAGUGGCGGACGGGUGAGGAAUACAUCGGAAUCUACUUUUUCGUGGGGGAUAACGUAGGGCCACUUACGCUAAUACCGCAUACUACCUACGGGUGAAAGCAGGGGAUCUUCGGACCUUGCGCGAUUGAAUUAGCCGAUGUCGGAUUAGCUAGUUGGCGGGGUAAAGGCCCACCAAGGCGACGAUCCGUAGCUGGUCUGAGAGGAUGAUCAGCCACACUGGAACUGAGACACGGUCCAGACUCCUACGGGAGGCAGCAGUGGGGAAUAUUGGACAAUGGGCGCAAGCCUGAUCCAGCCAUACCGCGUGGGUGAAGAAGGCCUUCGGGUUGUAAAGCCCUUUUGUUGGGAAAGAAAAGAAGCAGGUUAAUACCCCGCUGUUCUGACGGUACCCAAAGAAUAAGCACCGGCUAACUUCGUG
rnacentral:rRNA from 1 species